GAUGAACGCUGGCGGCGUGCUUAACACAUGCAAGUCGAACGAAGCACUUUUGAUUCUUCGGAAGAGGAAGUGACUGAGUGGCGGACGGGUGAGUAACGCGUGGGUAACCUGCCUUAUACAGGGGGAUAACAGUUAGAAAUGACUGCUAAUACCGCAUAAGCCGAUAGAGUCGCAUGACUUAGUCGGAAAAGAUUUAUCGGUAUAAGAUGGACCCGCGUCUGAUUAGCUAGUUGGUGAGGUAAUGGCCCACUAAGGCGACGAUCAGUAGCCGGCUUGAGAGGACGAUCAGCCACACGGGAACUGAGACACGGUCCCGACUCCUACGGGGGGCAGCAGUGAGGAAUAUUGGGCAAUGGGCGGAAGCCUGACCCAGCAACGCCGCGUGGAGGAAUGAAGGCCUUCGGGUUGUAAACUCCUUUUGCAGGGGAGGAGGAAGGACGGUACCCUGCGAAUAAGUCACGGCUAACUACGUGCCAGCCGCCGCAGUAACAC
rnacentral:rRNA from 1 species